UUGAAAGGGAAACGAUUGAAGUCAGUCGUACUAACGGGAAUCAACCUUUUGAGGGUGAAUUUGUGGGAUUCAAAGUGCCUUUAUUUUUCUACAAUCUGUCUUUUUUUUGGGUGCAUUUUUCUCGUAAUAUAGGUCUGUAUCGGUUUUGAUCGUUAUAAAAUGACUGGAGGAAUGUGUUAUAGCCUUUGGUAGAUGUAACGGUUGGGAUUGAGGAUUGCAAUGAAUGUCCUUAUGGCUAUCCCGCCUUGUCAUUCUGAUUCCGAAAGCUUGCUUAUGGUAUUAUAGGUGUGCGAUCAAAAAGGUUAGAAUGGAUUAAAUUCGUUAAGGAUGUUGACGUA
rnacentral:rRNA from 1 species